GUGACCCUCCCACACAGUACAGUAACUUAUAUACAUACCUGGAGGAAGGGAUGCUUUGCUUUGGGCUUCUUAAAAAUAUUUGGUGGUGGCUGCACCCUCCAACGUGCUCAUAGGACCGGACACCGAUGCACCCGCAAAGGCUGGCCUGGACGAGCCUCUGCUAAAGCUACUCGAAGGUUCAGGAUCCUAGUCAAUGGAACAAAAGGAAGACUCGAGUGCCUGUAAGACCAGAACAAGCCUGAAAUUGUAACCAGAUGGUGUCCCGCCCUGCCAGAGUUGCCUCCAGCCAUCAGGGUUCCAG
rnacentral:lncRNA from 1 species